rnacentral:misc_RNA from 1 species
GUUUUGAGUUUAUAAACUCUGAUUCGAUUGAAAUCGAUUAUUCAUACAUAUCAAGCAGAAUUUCUUAACACAAUACACUGAAUUCUGCAAACUACCCCUGCUAACUAUUUUUAAACUACAAGUCCAUGCAAGUCUUGAAUGAAGUUAUCGAUGUAGUUGCUCAUGAAUCCAGGACUCGAAAGAAGUUUUUUCCAUUUCUUAUGAUUCUCUUUCACAACACAACCGAUUUGGCUAUCUUUAUCCAUCACACAUUUCACAGCCUUGCACAAAUUCUCUUUAGUAAACAUAUCGUUUUCAUCCUUCUCCACUUCUACACCAACCUUAAGGUGUUGUCCCAUAAGCCUAGCAGUAAAAAUGUGAUCAAUAGGCCUUGGCAAAAGUACCAAUUGACAAUCACACAACACCAAA